UACGAAGGGGGCUAGCGUUGCUCGGAAUGACUGGGCGUAAAGGGCGCGUAGGCGGACGGCCUUGUCGGGCGUGAAAUUCCAGGGCUUAACCUUGGGGCUGCGUUCGAGACGGGUUGUCUAGAGUUUGGAAGAGGGUCGCGGAAUUCCCAGUGUAGAGGUGAAAUUCGUAGAUAUUGGGAAGAACACCGGUGGCGAAGGCGGCGACCUGGUCCUUGACUGACGCUGAGGCGCGAAAGCGUGGGGAGCAAACAGG
rnacentral:rRNA from 1 species